GAUGAACGCUGGCGGCGUGCCUAAUACAUGCAAGUCGAGCGGAGCGGGGACGGGUGAGUAACAAGUGGAUGACCUCCUAUAAGACUGGGGUAACUUCGGGAAGCCGGGGCUAAACCGGCUACUUAUAGAUGGAUCCGCGCUGCAUUAGCGAGUUGGUAAGGUACCGGCUUACCAAGGCAACGAUGCAUAGCCGAUCUGAGAGGGUGAUCGGCCACACUGGAACUGAGACACGGUCCAGACUCCUACGGGAGGCAGCAGUAGGGAAUCUUCCGAAAUGGGCGAAAGCCUGACGGAGCAACGCCGCGUGAGUGAUGAAGGUCUUCGGAUCGUAAAACUCUGUUAGUAGGGAAGCGGUACCUAAACAGAAAGCCACGGCUAACUACGUGCCAGCAGCCGCGGUAAUAC
rnacentral:rRNA from 1 species